UCCUCUGAUUAUCUGUAAUAUGUGUUUGAGCUGCAAACAUCAAAGAUCACAAAACUCCAUCAUGAAGCUUCCAGGGACAGAAUAUUAACUGACUCUUUAUAUUUCAGGGAGUUCAAUCAAUGGAGGAAUCAUAGGUGGAGUGGUUGGAGCUGUUUUGGUUGCAGCAGCAGCAGUUUGUCUGUUUCUGGUCUAUAAGAAGAAAACAGGUCAACAAGAAAACAACAUGAGAAGCUCAAACACUGAUGAAAACACGUCUAUUAAACUUGAAGAUAAAAAUGGAGGAACACCUUCUGCUGAAGAAAUGUGCUGAAAACCUGAACAACAGUGUUAAACCUCAGUCAGAUGAACUUCGGUCCAGUCUGGUCAACUCUGAGGUCUGACUGUAAAAAUGAGUGUAAGCUAAAACAAUCUAACGUAAUGUGAAGAAGUGGUGCCUAAAAUGUUGGUGAGUGUGAAAAAUCUCAUUCUUACCCCAGACCUCUGUAUCAUGACUGUAUUAAGUAUUAUAUUAGGAAUUAUGUAUGUUUACAUGUCACCAGCUGACUUUGGUAUUAUAUUUUUUUUGUGUUGACGUAAACUCAAAGACAAAACUCUUCAUGGCAGCUUUAAUCUUCAGGAACUCCUGCUCAAAGUGGGUGAACGGGAUAUUUUUUUUAAAAACAAUUAUCUUGGAACAUAUUUGAUAUUGAUUUAUAACUUCAGUUACUUUUCAGAUUCUUCCAGUUCUGUGAAAAACACGUAUCUCCAGUUUUGGGGCUUUUAAAUUUGAAUUUGUUCAACAAUUGUUCCACCACUAAAUAUCACCACAAGCCACUCAUUAAUCAUCAUUUCUAUCAUUUUGUUCAGGUCAUUUCAGAGGAUCUUUGUAGAAGAUGUAAUAAUUCAGCUCUUUUUACUGUUUUUCUGUUUGAUCUUGUAACAACCUGCUCUGUUUCCUGAAGUGCAGCAUGUAGCUGUAGCUCUAAAUCAUGUCCUGAUGCCUCACUCACACUAAACAGUGCAGAAGAAGUCAGAACUCACAGACUGAUGGGCUGGAACAGAAGCUGCUCUGCUUCACCUGAAAAAUACAGAUCACAUCAGUUGGUGCUGAACUCAUCAGUCACAGGUUGUUUUGGAGGAAACUGGAAACACAGAGAGAUUCCAGAUAAACACAAUCCAGAGUCUGUAUUUAAAUGUAUUAUUAGAUGAUCAGUAUUUAUACUGUUCUAUCAGACUUCAUUUGAUUUUACAAUAUUCUGAAAUCCAGUUUUACAUCAUGUUUACAUGCUGACAAAACACAAUGACUGUAACACUAUGUGACCUCUACCAGUUUUAUAAUCACUUUGUUAGAAAAAAAUAAAAGCAUUCUUGGAGAAA